UUUGACCUCGGAUCAGGUAGGGAUACC
rnacentral:ncRNA from 9 species